UCAAAGAAGCCACAACAAGGAAGAAAUUCCUCCUCUCCCGGGCUCAUGCUAAGAGGACUGGUAUCAGAUUAAUCAACCCAGCCAGCUGGCCUCCUGAAAAGAAAGAGCACACUGCUGAGUGUAAUAGCUUGCACAGGGCCAGAGGGCUCCCUGGCCUUCCUGAACCCAGGCGGCUGUGAACCGUGCUCUCUGUGUGGGCAUCUGCAGUGAAACCAUUUGAGUCUCUGACAUCAUGCGUCAGCAUCACUCUGACAGCCCAAUCACACACAAUUCCAAGAAUUCCAAUGAGUUGUACUUGGAUCACAGAGAGGAAUCUACUUGCCAUGCUGCCCUCCUGGAGCCAGUGCCCAGCUACAGGGACCCAGGACCACCCAUAGAGAUUCCUCUGUCUCUGCAAGUGGACUUCUACAGAAGGUUUGUAUGGGCAGCACCUUAGCUUGAGGUGAGUUGGCUUUUACUGCUGUUCCUGGCUCCCUGGGCAUUUCCUGAUAACGAAUUUUUCCCAAGUCGAUCUUCAUUCCCUCAAGAGUAUGGACAACUUUACCCAAUAGUGAUGGGUCAGAUCCCAGAUCCCUAAAGAACCUGUGAAUUGUGCAAACGCCUGGGCCCAGGAUAUGCCAUGCCAUCUGCUGAGACCUAUUUCCCAGUUGCUGCCACUUCAGUGCCUCUUCUGACUCACUGCUUCCUUCACACCUGCUGACCUGGCAUCUGGAGUCCCCUGAGCCACCCACCUCCUGCCGAGGAAGGGACCUUUCCUUGCUGCCAUGACACUCCUGGAGGAAUACAGGAGCCUUCCUGCCAGGCACUGGGAAAUUCCCUGGGAAACCUCAACCAGUUCCUCCCUCAGCCUCCCACUUUCUUCACUUCUGCCCUCUGCAUGAUGGUGGAAAGACCUGUUGCCAAUACUGGGGGGGCUUUUACCUCCAGGUGGGCCUAGACUGGGUCCUUGCUGCAAAACUGGGCCCACUUUCUCUUAUCUGGAAGCCUACCACGGACUAGGGGAUGAAACAUCUUCUGUCUCUCUGCAUUCCCACUCCACCUCUACCCACCUGUCUUUGGAGAGCAUGAGACCAGGCCCUCAAACCACCUGGUUAUACCCUUUCCCACACAGCCAAUGGAGCAAAUGUAUUAAUGGUUGUAAGUAGGUUAGUAGAAAAAUAGUUGGAUUUUAUCAUUGGGGUAUGGUUGGGAUGAAUUGAGUCAGAGGCAUAUGGAGAAAUAGUGGGAACAGGCUGUGUUGGACACAGUAUCUCCCUAUGGUUCCCUCCUGGCGACCAUUGCAUACAUUUGGUUUAGCACAAUGCUUUCACAGUAACCUGGAUCCUUCUGGAGCUCUUUGGUGACUCCAAAGCUGGCCUUGCAUGGGUCAGGUUGGAUCUUAAGGAAUUCUGUAAGACCACACGCCUGUCAGGUCAGGCAGUCUGAAUCUGGCCCCCAAAGAGCUCAGUCAAUGGCUGCCAUGCUGACUUGACCCUGGCGCAGAAAGGGACUCUCCUUGCGAAGGACCCCUCAGAGCUGGCGGAAGCCCAGGCAACCACCCUAUCCUUUCCCCACACCCUCAAUGACCAGCACAGCCCUCGUCCUGGACACCGGCUGCAGAAGCUUGCAGAACUAUCAGCUCCUACCCUUUGUGUGUUCACCUCCAAAUGCUCUUCUCUUUCCAUUGGAUGGAAACAGAGCCCUUGAAGAGGAAGUGACCAUACUUCCCAUCCCUCCCAAGGGUUAAGGUUUAAUAUAAGAAGGCCUUUUUGUCAGCUCCCAGCUGCCGAGGUGACCUGGGCUCUCCUCAGCAGUUGUCUUAAUAAACAGAUGACAGCGUGAUUCAGCCUCACCUUGUCUGCCUGGGCACGCUCGGGGAGGCUCAGCCGCCACCUCUGUCUGGCAGGUGUUUCCCUGCUCUUCUUCCAGCUCUUCUGUGGAGCCACGUGUGCAGGUUAUCUUGGUAAAGUGCUGGUAAAGUGUCCUCUUCUGGAGACGGCAGUGUGAGCCCUGGGUUGGGGUCAGCUACCAUUUCCUCUCCUACUACCUGUGCUCCUCAGGGAAAUGGCUCGGUAGCUUUGACUUCAGUCUCCUCCUCUGUAAAACAACAGUGGAUGAUCUGUUUGCAAGCCUCCUAGAAUCACCUGCAGCUUGGUGGUUGUGGGGAUCAGUCUGUUUGGGUUGGUCCCCAGUGAGUCCUGAUUUAGGUAAUACGUUACAUUUAAAAAAUAUUUCCACACUCCUGUCAGGAUGGCUAUUAGCAAAAAGAGUGAAGGUAACAAGUGCUGGAGAAGGCAUGGAGAAAAGGGAACCCUUGGGCACUCUUGGUGGGAAUGUAAAGUAGUACAGCCAUGUGGAAACCACCGUGGAGUUCCUAAAAAUAAUAAGAUUGGAAUUAGCAUAUGAUCCAGCCAUCCAGCUAUGGGGUCUAUAUCCAAAAAAUGAAAUCAGCGUGUUGAAGAGACAUCUGCACUGCCACGUUCACUGCAGCAUCUUCACUACAGACAAGAUUCGGUCAACCCAAGUGUCCACUGAUGGAUGACUGGGUAGUGAGAGUGUGGUAUAUGUAUGUAAUGGAAUACUAUUCAGGAAAAAAAAAGGAAAUCUGUCAUUUGUAAAACAGGAUGAUCCUGGAGGAUAUGAUGCUAACUGACAUGAGCCAGACACUGGAAGAAAAAUAAUGCAUGAUCUCACUCAUAUGUGGAAUCUAAAAAUGUUGGUCUCAUCAAAGUAGAGGGUAGAAUGGUGGUUUCUCAUAACUGGAAAGAGAAAGGCUGGGGAGAUGUUUGUCAAAGGGUACAAACUUUCAGAAGACAGGAGUAGUAAAUUCAAGAGAUUUACUGCACAGAAUGAUCACUAUAGUUAAUUAUAAAUGAUAUUUUGAAAAAUGCUAAGAGAGCAGAUGUAAUGUGUUUUCCCUACAAGAAUGAUAAGUAUGUGAAGGGUUGCGUCUGUUAAUUGACUGUAUUUAUUCAUUCCACAAUGAUUUAUACUUCAAAAUAUCAUGUUGU